rnacentral:lncRNA from 1 species
UGAUACCUCACCAGGAUUUCACAGAACGUUAGAAGAUGGACUCAGUUUUAUUUUUGUGAAAAUGAUGUGGCCCACAAAAUAUGGAAGACAAUCACAGACAAUGAGCAUUUUGAUUUCAUAUGGUCAUGGUCACCUGAAUUCUACAGAAUGUGGAUAAAAAUGCUUUCAGAAAUGAUCAGGAGGACAAGAUGCAUUGACCCUAUUAUGGAAAAAUAAAUAUCAGUAAAGCAGAAGGUUUCAAAUAAACAAAUACAUUUAAUGGAAUAAACUAUCUCU